UACGUAGGGGGCAAGCGUUGUCCGGAUUUACUGGGCGUAAAGAGCGCGCAGGCGGUCGAUCAAGUCGAGUGUGAAAGCCCCCGGCUCAACUGGGGAGGGUCAUUCGAAACUGGCAGGCUAGAGUACUAAAGAGGGUCGCGGAAUUCCCGGUGUAGAGGUGAAAUUCGUAGAUAUUGGGAAGAACACCGGUGGCGAAGGCGGCGACCUGGUCCGUGACUGACGCUGAGGCGCGAAAGCGUGGGGAGCAAACAGG
rnacentral:rRNA from 1 species